rnacentral:rRNA from 1 species
GACGAACGCUGGCGGCGUGCUUAACACAUGCAAGUCGAACGGAGUGGCGAACGGGUGAGUAACACGUGGGUGAUCUGCCUUGCUCUUCGGGAUAAGCUGGGGAAACUGGGUCUAAUACCGGAUAGUGCAAGAUGAUGUCGCGGCCAGUCAGCUUGUGGGUGGGGUAAUGGCCUACCAAGGCGUUGACGGGUAGCCGGCCUGAGAGGGUGUACGGCCACAGUGGGACUGAGAUAGGGCCGAGACGCCUACGGGAGGCAGCAGUGGGGAAUAUUGCACAAUGGGCGGAAGCCUGAUGCAGCGACGCCGCGUGGGGGAUGAAGGCCUUCGGGUUGUAAACUCCUGUCGACAGGGACGCGGUACCUGUAUAAGAAGCACCGGCUAACUACGUGCCAGCAGCCGCGGGAAUAC